CUCGGGUUUAGUAGCCCAGAGUGGUUUGGGACGCAGCCGGAGUUCCUGCACUCAUCCCCGGGCUCCCCCUCCUCAAGCAGCCGGAAGUGGGAUGUGAUGUGAAAAAAUCACACUCAACUUUUUCCUUUUUUUCCCUUCCGUGUGCAUUGUAACACGGCGAGAGGAAAAAGGAAAAAAAAAAACACGGUUUCGAUCCGAUACAAUGGUUCUGGAAGCGACACGGGUCCGGUAGUGUGGUGUACUCGGUGCUGUUUGUUGGAGAAAAGGCUCUGUGUGGGAAAGCCGGGACUUUAGGAGCAGAGAUGUAGUGUGUGUUCUGCAUUGGGAGACUCUGAUGCCUCACCAUGUUACUGUUCCUGCUGUUGGUCUUACAUCCUAAGCCAAUGCUCAGAUAGACCCAGGACUGUGUCGCUACCCUCUUGGCAUGGAGGAUGGCAGAAUAAAA
ensembl:lncRNA